rnacentral:rRNA from 1 species
GGAUAACACUUAGAAAUAGGUGCUAAUACCGCAUAAGCGCACAGCUUCGCAUGAAGCAGUGUGAAAAACUCCGGUGGUAUACGAUGGAUCCGCGUCUGAUUAGCUUGUUGGCGGGGUAAAGGCCCACCAAGGCGACGAUCAGUAGCCGGCCUGAGAGGGUGAACGGCCACAUUGGGACUGAGACACGGCCCAAACUCCUACGGGAGGCAGCAGUGGGAAAUAUUGCACAAUGGGGGAAACCCUGAUGCAGCGACGCCGCGUGAGUGAAGAAGUAUUUCGGUAUGUAAAGCUCUAUCAGCAGGGAAGAAAAUGACGGUACCUGACUAAGAAGCCCCGGCUAACUACGUGCCAGCAGCCGCGGUAAUACGUAGGGGGCAAGCGUUAUCCGGAUUUACUGGGUGUAAAGGGAGCGUAGACGGCAGCGCAAGUCUGGAGUGAAAUCCCAUGGCUUAACCAUGGAACUGCUUUGGAAACUGUGCAGCUAGAGUGCAGGAGAGGUAAGCGGAAUUCCUAGUGUAGCGGUGAAAUGCGUAGAUAUUAGGAGGAACACCAGUGGCGAAGGCGGCUUACUGGACUGUAACUGACGUUGAGGCUCGAAAGCGUGGGGAGCAAACAGGAUUAGAUACCCUGGUAGUCCACGCUGUAAACG